rnacentral:rRNA from 1 species
GAACCAAAAAGCUAGCUUAAUAACCAAAUAAUUUAAUAACAUAAAUAAAAUAUAAAACCAACUACAUAAACUAAACCAUUUUUUUACCUUAGUAUGGGAGACAGAAAAGGUAUUUACAAAGCAAUAGAGAUAGUACCGCAAGGGAAAGCUGAAAGAGAAAUGAAAUAACCCAUAUAAGUGCUAAAAAGCAAAGACUAAACCUUGUACCUUUUGCAUCAUGAUUUAGCCAGUAUCUUCAAGCAAAGAGACCUUCAGUUUGAAACCCCGAAACCAAGUGAGCUACCCCGAGACAGCCUAUUAAAGGGCCAACCCGUCUCUGUGGCAAAAGAUGUGGGAAGAACUCCGGGUAGAAGUGACAGGCCUACCGAACUUGGUGAUAGCUGGUUGCCUAAGAAAUGAAUAGAAGUUCAGCCUCAUACGCCUCAAAUCAAAAAUACAAAAGAUAAGAGAAAUAUAUGGGAGUUAGUUAAAGGGGGUACAGCCCAUUUAACUAAGGAUACAACCUUCACAGGAGGAUAAAGAUCACAAUAUAUUAAAAUUUACCGUUAUAGUGGGCCUAAGAGCAGCCACCUAAACAGAAAGCGUUAAAGCUCGGACAGAAACAAAUUUAUUAUUCUGAUAAUUAAUCUAAUUCCCCUAACUAUAUUAAGCCAACCCAUGCCAACAUGGAAAAGAUAAUGCUAAAAUGAGUAACAAGAAGGCCAGCCCUUCUCCACGACACAAGUGUAAACCAAACCGGACCAACCAUUGGUAAUUAACGAACUCAGUUAAAGAGAGUAAUAUGAACUACAACAAAACCAAGAAAACCCCACAACAAAACAUCGUUAACCCCACACUGGAGUGUCAUUUUAAAGGAAAGACUAAAAGAGAGGAAAGGAACUCGGCAAACACAAGCCUCGCCUGUUUACCAAAAACAUCGCCUCUUGCAAUACACCACAUAUAAGAGGUCCAGCCUGCCCAGUGACUAUAUGUUCAACGGCCGCGGUAUUUUAACCGUGCAAAGGUAGCGCAAUCACUUGUCUUUAAAUAAAGACCUGUAUGAAUGGCCAAACGAGGGCUUAACUGUCUCCCCCCUCCAGUCAGUGAAAUUGAUCUGCCCGUGCAGAAGCGGACAUAAAAAUACAAGACGAGAAGACCCUUUGGAGCUUAAGGUACAAAACUCAAUCAAAUAAACAACUCAAAAAGUACUUAACCACAUGAUAAAUGAGAACUUUACCUUCGGUUGGGGCGACCAAGAAGGAAAACAAAUCCUUCAAGUAGACCGGGAAACACCCCCUAAAACUAAGAGGGACACCUCUAAGUAACAGAACAUCUGACUACAAAUGAUCCGGUUAAUUACCGAUCAACGAACCAAGUUACCCUAGGGAUAACAGCGCAAUCCACUCCCAGAGCCCAUAUCGAAGAGAGGGUUUACGACCUCGAUGUUGGAUCAGGACAUCCUAAUGGUGCAGCCGCUAUUAAGGGUUCGUUUGUUCAACGAUUAAAGUCCUACGUGAUCUGAGUUCAGACCGGAGCAAUCCAGGUCAGUUUCUAUCUGUAAUGCCACUUUUCCUAGUACGAAAGGACCGGAAAAGAGGGGCCCAUGCUAAAAGUACGCCCCACCCCUAAAUUAUGAAGACAAAUAAAUAAGAGUGGGGGGGGCCCCAUAAACCCACGGCCUAAAUUAGGCUAUU